ACCCCUAUGGCGUAAUGGCUAACGCGUUUGACUUCUAUUCUUAGAAACUUGCCAAUCAAAAGAUUCUCGGUUCGAGUCCGGGUAGGGGUG